rnacentral:rRNA from 1 species
UACGAAGGGUGCAAGCGUUAAUCGGAAUUACUGGGCGUAAAGCGUGCGUAGGCGGUUUGUUAAGUCUGCUGUGAAAUCCCCGGGCUCAACCUGGGAAUGGCAGUGGAUACUGGCAAGCUAGAGUGUGUCAGAGGAUGGUGGAAUUCCCGGUGUAGCGGUGAAAUGCGUAGAGAUCGGGAGGAACAUCAGUGGCGAAGGCGGCCAUCUGGGACAACACUGACGCUGAGGCACGGAAAGCGUGGGGAGCAAACAGG